AACAAUUACGGGCGUAUGCCACCGCCAAGUGAUCGAUGGACUGCACCAACCGUUCCCUCAAGGCCACUCCACCACACCCGCGGCUCCUUUUCCCCUUCCCCCAACCCUAGCCGCCACUCUGCACUGACAGCGCCGGCGCCCGCGCUCUCCGCCACCGCUCCGCACCUUCAGCGCUGGCGGCCGCGCUCUCCACCGCCGGUCUUCCGCCGCCGUCGCGGACCGUCUCCUUCGUCCCCGACCACCCAUCCCCGCCCUGCUCGCCCUCAUCCGCUGCUCUGCACCGACAGCGCCGGCGGCCGCGCUCUCCACCGUCAGUCUGCACCUUCCGCGCUGGCAGCCGCGCUCUCCACCGCCGGUCGUUCGCCGCCGUCGCGGACUGUCUCCUCCGUCCCCGACCACCCAUCCCCAAGCAGGCACUUUCUGGCCUUUUUACCUAGUCAAUCGCUCGGAACGAGAAGCUGCAGCACCGAACAAAUUGCUCACUCCUGGAGUUUAGGUGGGAAGCUGGCUGCUGGAUCUGGGCGACGGAGUUCAGGAUUUUGCAGCUGUGGUGAACUACCGAACACGCCCCUAAUCCUUUCUUUCCCCUCCUCACCUGGACGCGCCGCCGGCUGCUGGACGCGCCCGUCGAGCCCUCCUCGCGCCGCCGGCCGCUGGACGCCCGCCGCCGCGGAUCUGAAGCUCCACCGUCGCCGGCCCCACGUCGCGGAUCUGAAGCUCCACCAUCGCCUUCGUCUCGCGCCCCUCCUGCUCCUUCGUCUCGCGCCCCUCCUCGCGCGCCGCCGGCCCCUCGUGCUCUUCUCCUCUUCAGGUGGCAAACGAUUUGCUCCAGGUUCCCCGCGACUGCUUUUAUCUUGCUUUAAUUUCAGAUCAGGCGUACGAUCAAUGUCGACUAUUUCUGAUCAGAAGAAACGGACCUUAGAAGCUAUUCAACAACGGUAUGCGGCAGCUAAAGCUAAGAAGCUGAAAGAUGAACAGCCCAAGUGCCUGAAGAACAAAGAGAGUACCCCCAAGCCCAAGUUUGAUGCACGGAGGAAAGGAAAAACUCCCCAAUCCACUCCUUCUCGAACUUCUGGCCAGCUGCCUACAUUUAGAGCUCAAGGAAACUCCAGUCAUCAACAAAAAACUUCUGCUUACUUAGGUGGAGAAAUCAACCCUAUAUACUCUGAGCUUUCCUUUGCCCUUCAUGAAAAUUUGUCCCAAGAUGACCAUACGGAUCUCGAUAGCACAGACAUAGUUCACAGUAUCGUAUAUGAUAUAAUUCAGAAAGGUGGAGAAUCCGGGAAAAUUGCCAAGGGAUCCAAAAAGUUAAAGCUGGAUAGAGGGAUUCUUUUGGAUAACUAUGUUCAAAGGGGUCCUAUAUUAGUGGAUGCACAAUCAUGAUCUUUGUUGAUUCACUCAAAGCGAUCAAAAACACAUGUCACUGAAGCAACAUAAGAAAUGUGGGUCAUUUGAUUUACAUGAUAAAUUCCGCAGAUUUGACCUCUAUAAGCCAAUGAAUGAAAUGUGGAAAGAGUAUAUGCGAGAGCUUACAAAAAGUAUCCCGAAAAAGCAAUUGUCGGAAAACCUCCUUUCAGCAGAUCUUCAUGGGGCGCUUAUAAUAGUGGCACAAUGCAAAGCAGUCUCAUAUGAAGGUGUAAGUGGCAUCAUGAUUCGUGACACUGCAGAGACUUUUGGAAUUAUAUCAGAGGACAACCGCUUCCGAGUUGUGCCGAAAGCUGGGUCAGUUUUCGUCCUCCAAGCUGAUUGCUGGAAGGUUACACUAAUUGGCGACAAACUGUCGCCAAAGGAGAAGUUGAAGGAAAGCCAGCGUCUGCAGCGUGCGCAAUCACUGAUCAGAUAGAGUUUCGAGCCUGUUAGACUCUGUUUUCUGACAAAUUUUGCCCAGAUAAACCCCUACAGAUUUUCUUGUUUAGUCUUUGUUUCUGUUGAUUAACGUCAGUCUAUCCCUUCAUUGCUUAGCACUUGGCAGUUCUUGUUGCUCCACAUUGUAAGCCAGUCACUCCUUGCAAAGUCGCGACGCUGAGAAGUUCCUUAGUAAAUCCGAACACGCUUCUUGUGCAAGCUGCAUCCUUGUAGGAUAGCAACUAUCAUACCAUGAUCAAUCACAGGUCUUUAUCAAAAAAAUUUAUCAAUCA